AGUGAACGCUGGCGGCAUGCUUUACACAUGCAAGUCGAACGGCAGCGCGGUCUGCGCUCGGGCUGCGGGUGGGGGACUGGCGGGUAGUGCAGCAGAACGUCCGCAGCUGCUGUUUAGAGCGGGGCGAAGUAGGGAAUAAUACCCCAUUAGAGCUUACGGUGUACGCGUGGGACCGGGGGACCUUCGGCCAUUGCGGCGGCCGAUGUCGGAUUAUCUAGUUGGCGGGGUAAAGGCUUACCAAGGCGACGAUCCGUAGCUGGUCUGAGAGGACGACCAGCCACACUGGGACUGAGACACGGCCCAGACUCCUACGGGAGGCAGCAGUGGGGAAUAUUGGAUAAUGGGGGCAACCCUGAUCCAGCCAUGCCGCGUGCGGGAAGAAGGCCUUCGGGUUGUAAACCGCUUUUGUUGGGGAAGAAAACCUGUGGGCUAAUACCCCGCGGGUAUGACGGUACCGGAAGAAUAAGCACCGGCUAACUACGUG
rnacentral:rRNA from 1 species